GACGAACGCUGGCGGCGUGCUUAACACAUGCAAGUCGAACGAAGUGGCGCACGGGUGAGUAACGCGUAAUCAACCUGCCCUUCAGAGGGGGACACCAGUUGGAAACGACUGCUAAUACCGCAUACUUAAGGAGGGGAUUGCGUCUGAUUAGAUAGUUGGAGGGGUAACGGCCCACCAGGGCGAGGAUCGGUAGCCGGUGUUAGAGGAGGAACGGGCAAAUUGGGACUGAGACACGGCCCAGACUCCUACGGGAGGCAGCAGGGGGGAAUCUUCCGCAAUGGACGAAAGUCUGACGGAGCAACGCCGCGUGAGUGAUGACGGCCUUCGGGUUGUAAAGCUCUGUUAAUCGGGACGCGGUACCGGAAGAGAAAGCCACGGCUAACUACGUGCCAGCAGCCGCGGUAAUAC
rnacentral:rRNA from 1 species